CCGAGUGGUGUGGAUGUUUAUUGGGCCUAAAGCAUCCGUAGCUGGCUGAGUUAGUCCUCUGUUAAAUCCACCGAAUUAAUCGUUGGAUUGCGGGGGAUACUGCUCGGCUAGGGGACGAGAGAGGCAGACGGUAUUCCCGGGGUAGGGGUGAAAUCCUAUAAUCCCGGGAAGACCACCAGUGGCGAAGGCUGUCGGCUAGAACGCG
rnacentral:rRNA from 1 species